GAGAUGGAAUAAUUAAGAUUAAUUAAUAGAAAUAAAUUUUGAAAAUCUUUAAAACCGACGAACUCGAUUAAUCAAACGGUGAGUUUAAAAUCGAGCAAAAACUUUAAUUUGGAAAAAAUAAACCUUGGAUUAAAAGGUGAACUGAGUUAAGUCAGGAACGAUUAAAUUAUCUGAACUAAACUGAAUCUCAAGAAUCUCACGUGCAAAUUAACAGGCAAAGGUUACUGAUCUUACCCAACGGGAACAUUGACUCUGUUCUGAAGUCUAGUCUUCACCAAAUCCAGAGGUUGAAAGAGGAUCGUGGAGAAUGUUCCGGAGAACGAACCCGCCAGGAAGGAUUUCAAAAUCGGAUAUGGAAAAAUUUUCUCCCCACAAAUCUUCGACGCCGACGUUAAACUAAAUCACGUUUGGAACGUACAUCGACUCUACUUACAUCCC